CAGCCGCCACGGGAAUACGGAGGGGGCUAGCGUUGUUCGGAAUUACUGGGCGUAAAGCGCACGUAGGCUGCUUUGUAAGUCAGAGGUGAAAGCCCGGGGCUCAACCCCGGAUGUGCCUUUGAGACUGCAGGGCUAGAACGUCGGAGAGGUGAGUGGAAUUCCGAGUGUAGAGGUGAAAUUCGUAGAUAUUCGGAAGAACACCAGUGGCGAAGGCGGCUCACUGGACGACUGUUGACGCUGAGGUGCGAAAGCGUGGGGAGCAAACAGGAUUAGAUACCCCAGUAGUCCCUGUCUCUUAUAC
rnacentral:rRNA from 1 species